ensembl:lncRNA
UUUUUUUUUUUUCGCCAGUGAAGGGUUCUGUUUUGAUAUUGAUGGGUGCUGAUUGAUCAGGGUGCUGGUGGCUGAAGAUUGGGCUGGCUGUGUGGCAGUUUCUUAAAACAAGACAACAGUGACAUUUACUGCAUUGAUUGACUCAUCCUUUCAUGAAUGAUGACUUCUCUGUAGCAUGCAAUGCUGUUUGAUGGCAUUUUACCUCCAGUAGAACUUCUUUCACAAAUGGAGUCAGUCCUCUCAAACUCUGCCACUGCUUUAUGAACUACGUUUAUGUAAUAGAUUAAUUUUUUGUUGUCAUUUCAACAAUCUUCACAGCAUCUUCACCAAGAGUAGAUUUUAUCCCAAGAACCAUUUUCUUUGCUCAUCUGUAAAGCUGCUCUUCACUUGUGAAAGUUUUAUCAUAAGAUUGUGGUGAGUGACCCACACCUGUGGCUUCCACUUCUAAUUCUAGUUCUUUUGCUGUUUCCACCACAUCUGUAGUUACUUCCUCCACUGAGAUUUUGAAUCCCUCAAAGUUAUCCAGGAGAAUUGUAAUCACCCUCUGCCAAAGUCCUAUAAGUGUCGUUAUUUUGACCUCUUCCCAUGAGUCAGGAAUGAUCUUAAUGGCAUCUAGAAUGGUGAAUCCUUUCUAGAACGUUUUCAAUUGACUUUGCCCAGAUCCAUCAGAGGAAUCACUGUCUAGGCAGCUAUAGCCUUAUGAAAUAUAUUUCUUAAAUAAUAAGACUUUCAAGUUGAAAUCACUCCUUGAUCCAUGGCUGCAGAAUGGUUUCUGUGUUAGCAGCCAUGAAAACAACAUUGAUCUCAUCAUCCACUCCCAUCAGAGCUCUUGGGUGACCAGGUAUUUUAUCAGGGAGCAAUCAUAUUUUGAAAGAAAUCUUUUUUUUCUGAGCAGCACGUCUUAACAGUGGGCUUAAAAUAUUCAGUAAAACAUGUUGUCAACCAAUGUACUGUCAUCCAGGCCUUGUUGUUCCAUUUAUGGAGCUCAGGCAGAGUAGAUUUAGUAGAAUUCUUAAGGGCUCUGUUAUUUUCUCAAUAGUAAGUGAGCAUUGGCUUAAACUUCACAUCACUUGCUGCAUCUCCUAACAAGGGAGUCAGCCUGUCUUUUGAAGCCCCCCCCCCCCCUUUUUGGUCUUUUUGCCUUUUCUAGGGUCACACUAGUGGCAUGUGGAGGUUCCCAGGCUAGGGGUCGAAUUGGAGCUGUAGCCACCAGCCUACGCCAGAGCCACAGCAACUUUGGAAACGAGAUGUGUCUGCGACCUACACCACAGCUCAUGGCAAUGCCAGAUCCUUAACCCACUGAGCAAGGCCAGGGAUCGAACCUGCAACCUUGUGGUUCCUAGUCGGAUUCGUUAAAACCACUGUGCCACGACGGGAACUCCCUGUCUUUUGAAGCUUUAAAGCCAGGCAUUGACUUCUCCUCUGUAGCUAUGAAAAUGCUAGGUGGCAUCUUCUUCCAAUAUAAGGCUGUUUCAUCUACAUUGAAAGAUCAUUGUUUAGCAUAGCCGCCCUCACUAAUCAUCUUAGUUAGAACUUCUGGAUAACUUGCUGCAGCUUCUGCAUCAGCACUUGCAGUUUCACCUUGAACUUUUAUGUUAUGGAGACAACUUUUCCUUAAACCUCAUGAACCGUCCUCUACUAGCUCCAAACUUUUCUUGUGCAGCUUCCUCACCUCUCUCAGACUUCCUAGAUUUGAAGAGAGUUAGGGUUUUGAUCUGGAUUAGGGAAUGUUGUGGCUUCAGGGAAUGUUGGGGCUGGUUUGAUCUUCUAUCCAAACCAUUACAACUUUCUCCGUAUCUGCAAUGAGGCUGUUGUGCUUUCUUAUCAUUCACAUGUUCACUGGGGUAGCAUCUUUAAUUUCCUUCAAGAGCUUCUUUUUCACAUUCACAGCUUGGCUAACUGUUUGGCACAAGAGUGGGCUUUCAGCCCAUCUCACCUUUCGCCAUCUCACCUUUCACUUGAGCACUUAGAGGACAUUGUAGGGUUGUUAAUUUUCCUGAUUUCAAUAUUGUUGUGUCUCGGGGAAUAGGGAGGCUCCAGGAGAUGGAGAGAGAUGGGGGGAUGGUUGGUGGGUGGAACAGUCAGAACACCCACAGCCUUUAUGGACUAAGCCAUCUUACAUGGGUGCAGUAUAUGGUCCCCCAAACAACGAAAAUAGUAACAUAAAGAUCACUGAUCAGAGGUCGCCGCAGCAUUUAUCAUAAUAAUGAAAACGUUUGAGAUAUUGCGAAGGUCACCAGAAUAGGACACAGAGACAUAAGGUGAGCACAUGUUGGAAAAAUGGUGCUGAUAGACAUGCUUGAUGCAGGGUUGCCACAAACCUUCAGUUGGUAGAAGAGCUCAGUGACACAUCAUAUGCCUGUAAUUGUAGUGAACACUGGUACCGCGUCCUUUCUACUUCGUAUGUGUGAGACACCAGGAAGAAAAUCAAAAUCACCUACUUAGUAAUUUAAGGUUUUUUUGCCCUCUCCCCACCUAUCCCAUGCAUGCUCUCCCUGUGGGCUGUAUUUCCCAUUAGGGACAUUCCAAGGAAACUGAAAAGGUGAGCACUGCGGGCCCUAACCUCAUCCUAGCUCUGGAUUCCUAGGAACUAGAGGAAACAUGCCCCUUGCAUGUACUUGGCUCUGCAAACCGAGGCAACAGAUUGUCUUCAUGAAGUUUGUCAUGGUCAACGGGAAAACACACACACACACACACACACACACACACACACACACACCCACACACACCCACACACCAACUCUUGCGGUUUACUUGUUCCUUAUCUUUGCUUUGGACCAAAUUAUUUCCUUUCUUUGGAGCCUGCUCUCUUCCAAGUCUUUAGAUUUGUGCCAACCAUAGCCUCUUAGAUGAACCCCAAUGUCUCCCAUGACAGUGUGGCUUUUUUUUUUUUUUUUAAAUGUUGGUGCCUGUAUGACUAGACACAAGCCAUGGUGGGAAAGUGAUUUUUGGCUUGCUUUUGGUGCCUGUAUUUUUUCUGACUUGCUUAUGGAUACCUCUUUCUAUUCCUUUUCUUGGAGUAUCAGGUUAUUAGAAAACCUGACACCCUUUCCCUUCAUUGAAAUGUAUUAAAAGUAGUGAUGCUACCAAAUCCUUAUGUUUGGAAAGCCAAGAAACUGGCAUGUGGAUGUGGGGCAUAGAAGUAGGGGAGAUGGAGGCUUAAGGUAGUCACCCCUCACCAGGUGGGUUAGAUGACUGGGCUCCCUUCCUGGACUUGCUCCGAAAAAUCUUAUUAAAUGUGACAUAAAUCACUAGUCUUUACUAUUGGCAUGCUUUUCAAGGAUGCUGCCUUUAGAAUUUUCCUUGCUGUGUUUAAAUGUUGAUCUACAGUUUAUUGUGUGGCCAUUGCAUAAUAGUUAAGUUGCAUAAUCUUUUUGUGUGGCAAUGUCCUGAGCUGGGUUCAAUAAUAGUACUACCUACCUCCCAUGGAGGUCAGGAGUAUCUUUAUCUGGGUCAUUGCCUUGGGCAGUGCCUGGUACCCAGUGAGCAUUCAGAAAGUGACUGCUGCCAUCACACAGCAGCAGCAGCAAAAGAUAAAGUUUUGCUCUGGAGUUAGACCUUGGGUUUGAAUCCUGGCUCAGCUGUUUCUAGUCCUGAGAUCCUGACUUUAUUUAUAUUCCUUUGCUACAAAAUUUCUGUACACAGGGUACCUCUCUCGGAAGAUUUUCGUAGGGGCAGUUCCUGUUGUUGUUCAGUGGUUACAAACCCGACUAAUAUCCUUGAGGACAUGGGUUCGAUCCCUGGCCUCGCUCAGUGGGUUAAGGAUCCGGCGUUGCCAUGAGCUGUGGUGUAGGUUGCAGACGCGGCUCAGAUCCCGUGUUGCUGUGGCUCUGGCGUAGGCCGGUGGCUUCAGCUCUGAUUGGACCCCUGGCCUGGGAACCUCCAUAUGCUGUGGGUGCAGCCCUAAAAAGACAAAAAGUAAAAUAAGGGGGAAAAAACUAUAACGGCAAUGUAUACAUCUAAGGAUAACCUGAUCCCCUUGCUGUACAGUGGGAAAAUUAAAAAAAAAAAAAAAGUAAAAUAAGAUAAAGUAAGAUUUUUGUGAGGGCUUAAAUAAAUCAUUAAUUAAGUGCUUGUAGCACAAUGUCUGGCUGAUAGUAAGCACUCAGUGAAGUCCAGUAAUAUUAUCGUUGGAGUGAAUUUCUGAUAAUCCCCUGCCUUUAUAUUUUAGGACUUUUCAACCCAUGGUGUUUGAGUUGCGAACGGCUCUGUUUAUGCGGGUGAAGAUGUUAUCACCAGACUACUCCCUCUCCACCCUGCAAAUUCAGAUUAGCUGUAGAAGAAGGGAGGGAAACUUGGUUUCUGAAAUGUCUGAGCUUGUUUGCUGAGGUCCUGUUCGACUCAGAUGAAGGGAAGAGAGCAGCGUGUGGUUACGCAGCCAUUCCAGGUGGGCUGAAGAGUACCUCUCCCCCUCCUGCUUAUGACAAGACUGCUGUGGUCAGAUGUUCAUAAGAAAGUAAAAAUUUUUACUUUCAUAUUUCCUGCUCUCAGUGAUGAAAAUAAAUUGAUAUUUUAUUUGUCUUCUUUUGAAGUUAAUGCAACAGAGCUAGCUUUUAUGACCUUUAAAAAAUGUUCCCAUGGUUUCUCUUGAAGACAGCUUUUCCCCAUUGCUUUUAAUCCUUUGAUAAUACAUUAAAUUCAUCUCCCUUUCUGGCAUGCACACAUUUCAAAUGUUUGUCCCUGACUCUGUCCUAUCUUAGAUAAACCUUGACCAAAUUAGUCAAAAACUCUAUAUUUAUUCAGUUUUCUCAAAACUGAAUUUAAUUUCCAACUCUAUAAUGCUUUUUAAAAUUCCUUCCCUUUAAGCUUAAAAAAAUUAUUUGUAGUAGGUUUUGCUGUCACGCAGUGCUUAUCAUUUAACGCAUGGGUUUUCAUGUGGUGUCUCAGAAAGGAUAUUUGCUGCCUCUUUCUGUCUUUCAUUUCCAUCCAGCGAGCGCAUCCUGGGUGGAUCACGUUUCAACAUAUUAUAUUCUCUGCAUAGCCAGACUUGUCGGUUUUGUAACAACAGACUUUUAUCUUAUUCAUGGAGUCCCUUCUAAACUGGGUCCUGGUCCUGUUCUGAGAGAUACAGUUGCACCCACUGAACAGUUUCUUAAUUUAGUCUAGUUUACUUUGCUGUCCAGGUGAUUUUGCAGGUUAAGAAUCUUUGACUCUUUCAGCUGCUACAUGCUAAGUGUGCCUGUUACACCCGGGGCUCGUUUAGUGAGAAGGUCCUCUCCGCAGUGCACUGUGUAACUGACACACCGCGUGUAGCUUGCCUAGUGCUUCUUAGCCAAUUGAGACAUUUUCCACGUAGCACGGUAGUCAUCUCCGAGUAGGGUGAACAGUGGCCACCCAAAGGCCUCAAGUCUUCAUUUCAGUGAUUUGUAAAUGUUUCUCUCUUCAGAUAAAGGGCCUGUAGAUGUAAGUAAGUUAAGGAUGUCAAGAUGGGGAGAUUACCCUGGAUUAUCCAAGUGAACCCUCUUUGCCACGACGAGUGUCCUUGUGACAGAGAGCAGAGGGCAAUCACACAGAGAGAAGGCGACAUGAAGGUGGAGGCAGAAAUGAGAACAACACAGUGCAAGCCCUGGAAUGGCAGGGCAGCCACUAGCAGCGGGAAGGGGCAGGGUGGCCCUCCAGGAUCUCAGCCUCCUGACCCCAGAACUCAGAGGAUACAGUUCUGCUGUUUUAGGUUGCCAAGGUUGUAGUAAUUUGUUAUAGCAGCUUCAGGAAAUCUAAUACAUGUCUCUUCUUCUCUCGAUAUUUUCAUUCCAGCGUAGAUGCAGGAAAGAGGGUAUAAAUGAGAGAGAGGGAUGAUUUUUUUUGAGAUAUCAGUCUUUAUUAUAGACUCAGUGGUAUGGAACUGCAUAUGCAGCAAGUUAAUUGGACUCAUACUGCUGUAAAAAAAAUCGUAAUUUAAGUGUAGUAUCUUUUUCUUUUGUCAGCAGUGGCUUGCCACUUAGAAGGUGAAACUGUUCAGGCAUGUGGUAUUGCAUGUUAGGGGCAGGAAGGAGGAGGGAGAGGAGGAAAAGAGGGUGAGAUGGAUGGUACAUCAGUUUCUGAAAGAUGGUGUUUCCACUUAUAUUUUGCUUUUCUUUUAAGUUGUAUGUUUAGGAUUGUAGCCCAUUUCCUUAAGGGGGCAGGAAGGCAGGGGCUGCCUCUCUAGAUCACGGCUGCCAUGUCCUCCUUGGACAUAGUAUGCAGAGGGUCCUGUCACCUGCCAGUCCUCCGCCAGGGAGAGUAGAAAGCAAGCAGCAGGGAGAAACCAAGGUGCUGUUGGCCAGGGUGGAGGCCAGAGGGAUGACUGCCUUUCUUUCCCAGACACCUUACCCUGAUGGCAAAAAGCCAACUCUGAUUUAACCUGGACUGGGACAAAGGACUUUUUUCCUUUAGAGGGGUCUCUGGAGUUAAAUAUUAAAGGAAAAGGAGAGAAAGGAAAGGCAAAAGAAAGUAAGAAGAAAAGAAAAAAAAAAAA